rnacentral:lncRNA from 1 species
CAUACCCUGCAGUAGAUGGGAAAGGCCACGGAGGACACGUUCUGUCUCAGCUUGACACAUCUUUGGAAAUGAUCCCUUGGGGGGUCCAGCAUAUUCUAUGAAGGAGUGAAAAAGGUCUUUGUUUUCAUACUUCACCUAAAAAGAUAAAAACGAGAGAGCCUAUGAAAAGAAGCCUUGCUUCCUGGAGGCAUGUAGGAAGAAAAUG